UAUUCGCCUGGAACUAGGUGGAGUGUGUUGGGAUAGAUUCUUAAUCCAAUCUAAGCCUGAGAGGCUGAAGGAUAGUAGACAGAGUAAAAAAGAAAAAGAUGUUCUUGUUGUUGAUGUCGAUCCCAAAAAAACCUGACCCAGAUGAUGCUCCUGCCUCAAUUUCUGGGGAGUCUUAAAUACUAUCUCAGCUGAUUUGGGUGGAGCUCCCUUUCUUCACUAUCCUUCUUUUUCAUUUUUUCUGCUCUAAAUUUCUAUUCCGUAUUUCUUUUGUGCUACCUUCUACAUUAUUGACCAUUGGAUUUGUUAAUCUCAAAUACUUACAAGUUAUUGUUAUGGAAAAUUAUCUUUAUGCAGGAAUGUGGUUUCAUUUAGUGAUGGACUACCUAAUGAUAAAGCUUCAUUCACAGUCAGUGAAUUCCCUCUUGGGACCUGUGGCAGGAGAGACCCAAUGAACCCUACUUGUUCCAAAAUUUCUCUAACCGCAAAGCUGAAAUUGGUUGAUGAAAAGUCAAAGGAAGCCAAAAUUGCUAGAAAUGCCUUGUUUUCCAAGCAUCCAGAGAUGAAGGACUGGCCUGAGGAUCACCACUUUCAAGUCUUCAAAUUAGAAAUUGAAAAUAUAUUUCUAAUUAAUUGGUUUGGUGGUCCAAAACCACUCACAGUGGAACAGUACUUACAUCCCAAAAUGUGAGUCAUUGGUUUGGUGGUCCAAACCCCUUCACUAACAUUAUAGCUAAGUUCCGACAAAAAAAAAAAAAAAAAUUAUAGCUAAGCAGGAGAUUGUUAUUUUGGUCAUUGUUGUAACUCAUUUUUAUAUCUAGAGAAGGGUAUCGUAUUCUUAAAUAUCCCCUAUAAAGUGGUCUAUUGAUAUUUUGGCCAUGGAAGUUGGAAGAUGCUUUGUAUAAUAUCUCAUUAUAUCUUGAGAAGGCUAUGUCGUAUUCGUAUCCUCAAAAAUCCAUUAUUUUAGACGCUCGCUUCCA